rnacentral:rRNA from 1 species
GACGAACGCUGGCGGCGUGCUUAACACAUGCAAGUCGAACGGAAGGACCCUGCUUUUGUGGGGUGCUCGAGUGGCGAACGGGUGAGUAACACGUGAGUAACCUGCCCUUGACUUUGGGAUAACUUCAGGAAACUGGGGCUAAUACCGGAUAGGAGCUCCUGCUGCAUGGUGGGGGUUGGAAAGUUUCGGCGGUUGGGGAUGGACUCGCGGCUUAUCAGCUUGUUGGUGGGGUAGUGGCUUACCAAGGCUUUGACGGGUAGCCGGCCUGAGAGGGUGACCGGCCACAUUGGGACUGAGAUACGGCCCAGACUCCUACGGGGGGCAGCAGUGGGGAAUAUUGCACAGUGGGCGGAAGCCUGAUGCAGCAACGCCGCGUGCGGGAUGACGGCCUUCGGGUUGUAAACCGCUUUCGCCUGUGACGAAGCGUGAGUGACGGUAAUGGGUAAAGAAGCACCGGCUAACUACGUG